AGCAGCCGCGGUAAUUCCAGCUCCAAUAGCGUAUAUUAAAGUUGUUGCAGUUAAAAAGCUCGUAGUUGAAUUUCGGGGUCUGUCCAUCGGUCGGGCUUUUUCGGUCCGCACUGUUGCGAUGGAUUCCUACCUUCUGAAUAACCGAUUUGCCAUUAAUUUGGUGGGUCGGGGAAGCAGGACUGUUACCUUGAAAAAAUUAGAGUGCUCAAAGCAGGCUAGUGCCUGAAUACAUUAGCAUGGAAUAAUAAAAUAGGACGGCAUGGUUCUAUUUUGUUGGUUUCUAGGAUCACCGUAAUGAUUAAUAGGGAUAGUUGGGGGCAUUAGUAUUCAAUUGUCAGAGGUGAAAUUCUUGGAUUUAUUGAAGACUAACUACUGCGAAAGCAUUUGCCAAGGAUGUUUUCAUUAAUCAAGAACGAAAGUUAGGGGAUCGAAGACGAUCAGAUACCGUCGUAGUCUUAACCAUAAACUAUGCCGACUAGGGAUCGGACGAUGUUAAUUUUUUAAUGACUCG
rnacentral:rRNA from 1 species